GGGCGCAUAGCUCAGUUGGUAGAGCAGCUGACUCUUAAUCAGCGGGUCCAAGGUUCGAAUCCUUGUGCGCCCA
rfam:Methyloligella halotolerans strain VKM B-2706 A7A08_contig000001, whole genome shotgun sequence.